rnacentral:rRNA from 1 species
CCUACGGGUGGCAGCAGUGAGGAAUAUUGGUCAAUGGGCGAGAGCCUGAACCAGCCAAGUCGCGUGAAGGAUGACGGCCCUACGGGUUGUAAACUUCUUUUGUCAGGGAGCAAUUGGGUCCACGCGUGGGCUUAGCGAGAGUACCUGAAGAAAAAGCAUCGGCUAACUCCGUGCCAGCAGCCGCGGUAAUACGGAGGAUGCGAGCGGUAUCCGGAGUUAGUGGGUUUAAAGGGUGCGUAGGCGGAAUAUCAAGUCAGCGGGAAAAAUUCGGGGCCCAACCCCGUCGUGCCGUUGAAACUGAUGUUCUUGAGUGGGCGAGAAGUAUGCGGAAUGCGUGGUGUAGCGGUGAAAUGCAUAGAUAUCACGCAGAACUCCGAUUGCGAAGGCAGCAUACCGGCGCCCAACUGACGCUGAAGCACGAAAGCGUGGGUAUCGAACAGGAUUAGAUACCCGAGUAGUC